ensembl:lncRNA
GCCCCACGCGGAAGUCGGCGCUUCCCGGCCGGAUCGCGGGAGGCGCAGGGGGCGGUCGUGAGGGUCCUGCCUCGGCCCGGGGGUGCUGGGGGCAGAGCACCGCGGGGCCGGGGCUCUGGAAUCCGGAGACCAGCGCGGGCCGAGGGGGCCCUUCGAGGCGGACAGAAGGGGCGAGGACACGCCCUGCGCCAGGUACUUGGUGCGGGCGGGGCGGAGCGCCAGGUGCGUCAGGGGCGCCAGGUAGGCCCGCAAGCCCCGCCCUCCUGACCACGCCCCACUGGAGGCCCGUCCCCGUCCCUGAGUCGGCCCUGCCUCUGACUUUAGCCCAGAGCUCCCGCGCCGGCGCUUUCCCGCCGCCGCUGACAGCUCGGAGUCGGCCUCGGUGCGCUGGGGAAAACCGUCCGGGCCCGCCUCUGGCGCCGCUGCCGCGGCCGCGCUAAGGUUCCGGGCGGACCCUGCCGUGUCAGGUAAGAGGCCCCGGGCCGGGCCGUGAAGCGAUCCUGGCCCCACGCGGAAGUCGGCGCUUCCCGGCCGGAUCGCGGGAGGCGCAGGGGCGGUCGUGAGGUCCUGCCUCGGCCCGGGGGUGCUGGGGGCAGAGCACCGCGGGGCCGGGGCUCUGGAAUCCGGAGACCAGCGCGGGCCGAGGGGGCCCUUCGAGGCGGACAGAAGGGGCGAGGACACGCUCCUGCGCCAGAUACUCUGAAAGUUGGAGUGAUUCAGUGACCGCUAAGGUUCUUCCAGCUCUGAAGAAGGUGGUUCAGAAACACUUCAUUGUGUCUGAGCUAAAAUCUACUUCCCAGCAGCAGUGGAGGCGUUGGGAGCAGCUUCCGUCAGGACACUGUUCCACCUCUGGCCGUGAGAGCUCCCGGCCGCUCACGUCACCAGCACUGCUGAGACCGUUUGGAGCACACAGCUCACACGUGAGUGUGUGAGGGAACACACGCCGGAGGGAGCCCGGGAGAGGGAACCGGUUCCUGAGCUCCUGCAUCUUCCCUGAGAAUGGACCCUGGAGACCCAGAAGAAAAGCCUGCUGCCGGUGACCCCGCUGGUGGCCAGGACCCGCGCCUGUUCCUGCAGACCCUGCAGACGCUGUGGUCUACUCGGGAGCUGCGACAGGUGAGCUGCCUCAUCGAAUGUUCUGCGGGUCACGUGGGGUUGGGGCCGGGAGACAAGGCCUGUUGGACGCACGGAGCAGGAGAAGGCAGUACCCACCACCAGCCUGCAGGCAGCAGGGGGCACCUGGCGGGCCUCGCGCUUUGCCUCCUCUGCCCGAAGGCUCAGAGGACAGCCGUGUGUGGUCUGGCCGGCAGGCAGCCAGGGCCUUCCGCGGCUCUGGGCCCCGCACACCGGUCCCACGGAGGCCCUGCAGGACGGCAGCUCUGCCUCAGCCCAGGUGGCGCCCAUACUGGCCCUCGGCCGCUCCUCCCUGCACCGAGCUCCCUCGAGGCCCCAAGGACUGAGGCUGCCCUGGUCCCUGGGGGCGCGGGAACCACGUGUGGCUGGGGGGUGCCCAUCCUCUCGGGCCAGCCUGGCCUCCCUACCCCCACCGCCCCCGCCCCCAGGACCCCAGGGCUGGUGAGCUCCAGGAAGGCCACGGGCCUUCAGGGGAGGCCUGCCUGUGAGCCUGAGAGGUUCACGGGGCUUCCCAGGGCACAGGGCAGCCUUCUGUCUGGACAAGCCCCUGCGGGCCAAGCUGCGUGGCCUCGGGCAGGUAUCUGCCUGCCGCCUCCCCCGACCCGCACGGGCCUGUGAACAGCCGGCUCCGGUUGUUAGCUGGAGAAAUACAGUGCUUCUGCAAAAGCCAGAAGUUUCUUGAUUUCCCGGUUCCGUGCCUGUGGCUUUGAGGGCGACUCAGGAAGCUGGGCCGCGGGGCUGUGAGGCCUUCCCGCCUAGACGGGCCUGCCUGUUGUGGGGGGAGACUGCGUUUCCUGUGGGUGGAGCUGAAGCAGCUUGGGGGAGCCGCCUGUCUGUUCCCUGAGGCUGGGCGCUGAAGGGCUCCGCCUGGACUGGGCCAGGGGCUGGGAACGUGCUGUGAAACCCAGGUCUCCCUGGGGCGACUCCGGCAGAGUUUCCACUUCCGGACCUGUUUCCCAGGGGAGUGCCCGCUUCCUGUGCGUCAGCACAGCUUGGGCCCAGGCCCCUCCGGUUCUGCGACCCCGAGGGUGGCACGGCCCCUGCCCCCGCCCCUCUCCAGGACUGACCUCAAGCAGUGGGCCCAGGCGACUGUCGCCCAUGCCGCCUCUCCCUCCCCACCUCCGCGUGAGCCUGUUGUCUUCGUUUGAUGUCUGGGCUUCCGUCAUCCUUCCUGCUGUCUGAUUUUCACUGUGUCUCCUUGACCAGCGUGUUCUUCAUUUCCAGAGAGACGCUGGGCCGUGUGUUGAUAUCCGUCAGCCCGCGUUCCUGGCUGGGAAGGCACCUGGUCUGUGCUCUGGCUUCUGUGGGGGCCGGGCUUGUUCUGUGGUCGUCUGUGUAACUGCUCCGAGUCCCCUGUUCAUGACUGGUGUCCCACCAGGAGAGCACGCACGUCCUGGGCCCCUGCUCACGGCCAGCGCACACUGCCCAGUGUUGUGAGACAUGCGUGAGGCCUGAGGCCCAGCAGCAAGGCGGGGGUGGGGUCCCUGCAGGGCCUCGAGGGAUGGGACGGAUGCCUGGGCUGGGCUGGGAGGGAGUGGGGGACGCUGAGCCCCAGGGGGUUCAGACGAGCAGGGGGCCCUGGAGGCCAGCGCAGCCCAGGGCAGGGGCCUCAGGAUGCGAGGGGGUCGCAGGGCUGACCCUGCAGGACUCCUGGGAGCUUUGCCCUGUGGGGAAAGAACUGGGACCCAGCAGGGUCUAUGGUCUAGCCUUUCAGAGGGGAUCGGCCGGCGCUAGAGGAACAGGCAAAGGGCGGGAGGGGGCCAGGCAGGGGGCCUAAGAGCCCCCCAGGGGGGAACCGGGGUGGGGACAGGCAGGGGAGGGCGGCGCUCCCCACAUGGGGCCAGGCCUGCACCCUGGAGACUACGGGGAACACUCACUCCUGGGCGCACCCCAGCCCCACGGGGAGGAACCCGACUGUGCUAACAGGCUCUCUGGGCUCUGGCCCAAGCCCACUGCAGUCGGGGGGCCGUGCCUUCACUCCUGAAUGUGGGUAGGAAGGAGGGGCUGUGCCCAGGUCCCAGCUGGGUGGGGGUCAGGAAGGGGAGGGGGGCCAGAAGGCGGGAAGGAGGGAGGGAGGGGUCAGCGGGAGCCUCAGCGCCGGGCCUGAAGGGCCGUCGGCAUGGACGCUGUGCCCAGCACGCCCGGGAGCAGGGCGAGGGGCCAUUCGUGAGCCCGGGCCACGGGGCCACGUGGCUGGGGAUGCCGGGCCCGGUGUGUGCGAUCCCCCGAGGGCCGCAGCCUCAGGUUAGGGCCACUGUGUCUUAUCCUUCACUUAGGGCUGAUUGCUCUUCUCUCUCAUAGUUUCAGACGUGUUUGUUUUCUGUCUUCAUUCCCAAGCUGGUAGCUUGUCGUCCUUUGCUCUUGGAGCUUUGAUCGCCCCGCGGUGGUCGUCUCGCCCCGUGGGUGCUCCUCGUGAUUCCAGCGGUUUUCACAGGAGCUCAUCUCAGUGCAGCUCUCCUUUCUGGUGGCCGAGGGCCAGGCCCAGAGGCGUCCCCAAGUCGGACCCCCUGAGCACAGGCGCAAACACCCUGGGGGCCCCUGCCCUGUGUGUCGGUACCCAAGGCAGGCUGGGGUCUCCCCUGUGCUCACUGUGCCUGGUGCCCCGCAGACCUGUCCCUUCCUGGGGUCUUUACAGACAGAGCAUUCACUUGAUGCUCGAGGGAGAGUCCGUGUUUCGUUCUCGAGAGCCCUGCUGAGUAGCCAGAGAACAGUGGUUUAAAGUCACAAAGACGUGAGUGGAUGUCGCUCCAGGAGCAUCCUGGGAGCCCGCCUGGGGGCCACGGCCAUGUCCCUGCUGAGACCUGCCACCCGACGGUGGGCCCUGAGCCCCGGGCUGAGCACAGCAGAGGUGUUUGUGAGGGAAAGGCUCACACAGACAGGAAGCGGGUGACGCCAGGGGCCUUGGGCUGAAAGAACGCUUUCCCAGGUCAGAGCGUCAGAGAGCAAAGGGGCCCAGGUGAGAGCGUCAGAGGGCAGUGGGGCCCAGGUGAGAGCGUCAGAGGGCAGCGGGGCCCAGGUGAGACUGUCAGAGGGCAGCGGGGCCCCUGGCCUCGCUGAUGACCAUGUCUCCGCUGCUCAGUCACGUGGUGGGGGAACUGAGAUGCGGCCCUUUGUCAGCAGGGCCCUGGGGAGCUCAAGGGGCUUCAGGGAGGUCUGUGCUCUCUGGGCCACACCAGAGCAGAUCCGGGCGUUCAUGAUUGCACCGCGGGAGCCGGACCUGCAGACCCCCCCAGGGCUCAGCUGGGCCUGCAGACCCCCAGGGCGCAGCUCCUGUCUCGGCACCUGGCCGGGUGACAGCCAUGUCCAUGAUGGUCUCAGGGAAGGUGGGGGGGACUGCCCACUCCUUGGGGGUCUUGGAGAAGGUGGGGGGGGACUGCCCGCUCCUUAGGGGUCUCAGGGAAGGUGUGGGGGUCUGCCCGGUCCUCAGGGGUCUUGGGAAGGUGUGGGGGUCUGCCUGCUCCUCAGGGGUCUCGGAGAAGGUGCGGGGGGACUGCCUGCUCCUCCGGGGUCUCAGGGAAGGUGGGGGGACUGCCCACUCCUCAGGGGUCUCGGGGAAGUUUGGGGGGGACUGCCCGCUCCUUAGUGGUCUUGGGGAAGGUGCCCGGCCGUUUCCGCUUCAGGUGUGAAGCAGUGUCUCUUCCCAGACCCCUUCUCUGAGUGCUUUAGGUCGAGGCCCCAUGUCUAGUAGCAGCAGGACGGGGGCCCUGGAAGCCGCUGCUCUGCAGGGCUUUUUGGGGGAGGGUGAGCGAGCUGACCCCAGCUGUCGAGGGCAGAGCCCCGGGCCGGCCAGGGAGCAGGGCCUGACCUCCGGAGGACACGCCACCUCCCGUGCCCUUCCCAGGCCUCUGUGAGUCGGCACGGGAGAGUCCGUCCAGGGGAGACCGGACACCUCAGAGGGAAGAGCUGGCCCUGCGCUCUGCCCGUGUCCGGGAGGGGGGCUCCGCGGGCUCACAGGGUCCUCGAGGCAGCCCUCCCCCUGGCAACGCUCCGCACUCAGCGCCAUGACACCCCGGUCCCAGGACAGGGGCCUCCUGGGAAAAGCCUUUCUUCUUUGGGGCCUUGAGCGGGGAUUCUCUUCC